rnacentral:rRNA from 1 species
UGCAGUCGAACGGUAACAUUUCUAGCUUGCUAGAAGAUGACGAGUGGCGGACGGGUGAGUAAUGCUUGGGAACUUGCCUUUGCGAGGGGGAUAACAGUUGGAAACGACUGCUAAUACCGCAUAAUGUCUUCGGACCAAACGGGGCUUAGGCUCCGGCGCAAAGAGAGGCCCAAGUGAGAUUAGCUAGUUGGUAAGGUAACGGCUUACCAAGGCGACGAUCUCUAGCUGUUCUGAGAGGAAGAUCAGCCACACUGGGACUGAAACACGGCCCAGACUCCUACGGGAGGCAGCAGUGGGGAAUAUUGCACAAUGGGGGAAACCCUGAUGCAGCCAUGCCGCGUGUGUGAAGAAGGCCUUCGGGUUGUAAAGCACUUUCAGUUGUGAGGAAAAGUUGGUAGUUAAUACCUGCUAGCCGUGACGUUAACAACAGAAGAAGCACCGGCUAACUCCGUGCCAGCAGCCGCGGUAAUACGGAGGGUGCGAGCGUUAAUCGGAAUUACUGGGCGUAAAGCGCACGCAGGCGGCUUGUUAAGCUAGAGGUGAAAGCCCCGCGCUCAACGUGGGAACUGCCUUUAGAACUGGCAGGCUAGAGUCUUGGAGAGGGGAGUGGAAUUCCAGGUGUAGCGGUGAAAUGCGUAGAUAUCUGGAGGAACAUCAGUGGCGAAGGCGGCUCCCUGGCCAAAGACUGACGCUCAUGUGCGAAAGUGUGGGUAGCGAACAGGAUUAGAUACCCUGGUAGUCCACACCGUAAACGCUGUCUACUAGCUGUUUGUGUAUUUAAUACGUGAGUA